rnacentral:lncRNA from 1 species
CCAGGAAAAGGUCAAGAGUUAAAGGAGUACUGGCAGUGGUGCAGCAGUUCCCAGCUUGCUCCUUAACUUGAUUCUAUCUCCUGCUGCUCUGAGGGGAUUCCCUGGACAGAUUUUGGACGUGGUUCUCUGCUUGCUGUGCCAGGAGUUGCUGAUAGCUGCUGUGCAUUGCUGAGCAGAUUCUACUGUUCCAUUGCUGCAAUCUCCCUUCUUCUGACAUCUUCACGCAGUAUGAUGCUUUUCCCAGGCACUUCAGUCAGAGCAAUUACACAUAUUAAAUGUCUGUGUAUUAUUUUUACUGCAGCAUGUUAAUGAACAAAUAAAAACUGC